rnacentral:rRNA from 1 species
GCCUCAGGUGAGCGAGAGAACUCUCGUUAAGGAACUCGGCAAAAUGACCCCGUAACUUCGGGAGAAGGGGUGCUCAGUUUAACUGAGCCGCAGUGAAUAGGCCCAAGCAACUGUUUAUCAAAAACACAGCUCUCUGCUAAAUCGUAAGAUGAUGUAUAGGGGGUGACGCCUGCCCGGUGCUGGAAGGUUAAGAGGAGUGCUUAGCGGUAACGCGAAGGUAUGAAUUGAAGCCCCAGUAAACGGCGGCCGUAACUAU